UGACGAGGUGUGGGCGUGUUGUCAACAUUCAACAUGGCGUCUCACAGGAGUCGGCUGUUUUGUUUACGGACUCUGUCGUUGAGCAUCUUCUUUUACUGCACAUAUUGCCAUUUUCAACUUGUUCUCGGAAAUGAUGUCGAUAGCUGUAAAAGUCUACGCUUGGGACAGUAUCUUUGCAAAGAACCACGGAUAGAUGAUGCCACUCAAGAACCUGCGAACUGCAAGGACAUGAUAGCUUGGGUGGAAUGCCUACCUGCUCCGAAUGUCAGCUGCCGCUUGUCCAACGGGACAGAAUUUCGGUUCAGUGGAGAGGAAGUGGGCUUCAACCAGAGCAUCCCCUGCAGGAAUGUGAGCGGUUACUCCUACAAAAUAGCAGUGGCCUUGUCCCUCUUCCUGGGGUGGUUAGGAGCUGAUCGCUUCUACCUGGGAUACCCAGCUUUAGGGCUGCUCAAGUUCUGCACUGUGGGCUUCUGUGGGAUUGGGAGCUUGGCGGAUUUCAUGUUGAUCUCAAUGCAGAUAGUGGGUCCAUCGGAUAAGUCUGACUACAUAGUGGAUUACUACGGUGCCAGACUCACACGCCUCUCCAUUACCAACGACACCUAUAGAAGAACCCAGAUCUCACCCUGAGGGUCGCAGUUGCAAAUGAGAACUUGUUCUCAACUAGCCUACCUGGUUUAAUAAAGGGUGAAAGUGAAAAACAACUACAACCUCCAUCCUCUGAAUGCUGUCAUUUGAAAUUAUGCCCCUCUUUUGGCAUCCUAUUUUUCACCCGACCAGUACAUACGGACUAUUCCGAGUCCACUUCUCCUGUCUACAUGUACCCCAAUGUCAGCAGUAGAGCCUGUGAAGCGAGACUUAGUCUCUCCUUGCUUCUUUGUCCUUCAUUCCUUGUCUUCUCCUCAAAAUGUAUUUGAAGAUCAAAUCUGAGGAGAUGAGGAUAGAGGAUACAAGGAAACAAGGAAAGACUUGAGAUUCACCCGUGGUCACAAGCUCAGGUCCCGGAGGGUUACAGUACAGGCUUUUGUUCCAACACAACAUUAGCCACACCGUGUAGCUCUCCAGUACCCGUGGGUUGAUGACCCCCACCAUAGAGCUUCAAGUCAUCGUUGUUAUACACCUAUGAGAAUCUAGAAUCUGCACUGAGAACGGUGUACUGUAAAUAUAAUGUCAUCUGUGGUUUUUGAGUAUGUCUGGCAGCAAGGGAACUAAUUGUACUGUAUGACUGUCUUUUUGCUUUCAUUUGUCAUUUGAGAUUUUUGUAAAUAAAGUGAUCAUUUAAUGAAAA